UUGCCCAUCGGGGCCUCGGAUACCUACUUUAAUUUUU
rnacentral:ncRNA from 1 species